AGCGAGCGGCGGACGGGUGAGUAACACGUGGGUAACCUGCCCAAGAGACUGGGAUAACACCUGGAAACAGAUGCUAAUACCGGAUAACAACACUAGACGCAUGUCUAGAGUUUGAAAGAUGGUUCUGCUAUCACUCUUGGAUGGACCUGCGGUGCAUUAGCUAGUUGGUAAGGUAACGGCUUACCAAGGCAAUGAUGCAUAGCCGAGUUGAGAGACUGAUCGGCCACAUUGGGACUGAGACACGGCCCAAACUCCUACGGGAGGCAGCAGUAGGGAAUCUUCCACAAUGGACGAAAGUCUGAUGGAGCAACGCCGCGUGAGUGAAGAAGGGUUUCGGCUCGUAAAGCUCUGUUGGUAGUGAAGAAAGAUAGAGGUAGUAACUGGCCUUUAUUUGACGGUAAUUACUUAGAAAGUCACGGCUAACUACGUGCCAGCAGCCGCGGUAAUACGUAGGUGGCAAGCGUUGUCCGGAUUUAUUGGGCGUAAAGCGAGUGCAGGCGGUUCAAUAAGUCUGAUGUGAAAGCCUUCGGCUCAACCGGAGAAUUGCAUCAGAAACUGUUGAACUUGAGUGCAGAAGAGGAGAGUGGAACUCCAUGUGUAGCGGUGGAAUGCGUAGAUAUAUGGAAGAACACCAGUGGCGAAGGCGGCUCUCUGGUCUGCAACUGACGCUGAGGCUCGAAAGCAUGGGUAGCGAACAGGAUUAGAUACCCUGGUAGUCCAUGCCGUAAAA
rnacentral:rRNA from 1 species